rnacentral:rRNA from 1 species
GGCGGGGAGUGGCAGACUGCUCAGUAACACGUAGCUAACCUACCCUCAGGACGGGGAUAACCCCGGGAAACUGGGGCUAAUACCCGAUAGGUGUGGAUUCCUGGAAUGGUGCCAUGCCUAAAUGUAAGCGCAUCCAUGUUUGUGUGCACGCCCGAGGAUGGGGCUGCGGCCGAUCAGGCAGUUGGUGAGGUAACGGCUCACCAAACCUUUGACCGGUACGGGCCAUGAGAGUGGUAGCCCGGAGAUGGGCACUGAGACAAGGGCCCAGGCCCUACGGGGCGCAGCAGGCGCGAAACCUCCACAAUUCACGCAAGUGAGAUGGGGUUACCUCGAGUGCCGCCUGAAGAAGGCGGCUUUUCCAUGGUGUAAUGAGCCGUGGGAAUAAGGGGGGGGCAAGACUGGUGUCAGCCGCCGCGGUAACACCAGCCCCCCGAGUGGUGGGGAUGAUUAUUUGGCCUAAAGCGUCCGUAGCCGGCUCGGUAAAUCUCUCGUUAAAUCCAGCGUCCCAAGCGUUGGGCUGCGAGGGAGACUGCCGAGCUAGAGAGUGGGAGAGGUCAGCGGUAUUCCUGGGGUAGGGGCGAAAUCCAUUGAUCCCAGGAGGACCACCAGUGGCGAAGGCUGCUGACUAGAACACGCCUGACGGUGAGGGACGAAAGCUGGGGUAGCGAAUCGGAUUAGAUACCCGAGUAGUCCCAGCCGUAAACGAUGCAGGCUAGGUGUUGGGUCGGCCACGCGCCGCCUCAGUGCCACAGGGAAGCCAUUAAGCCUGCCGCCUGGGGAGUACGGCCGCAAGGCUGAAACUUAAAGGAAUUGGCGGGGGAGCACCACCGGGCGUGAAGCCUGCGGUUUAAUUGGAUUCAACGCCGGA